rnacentral:tRNA from 1 species
CGGACUUUAAACAGUCCUUUAAA